rnacentral:rRNA from 1 species
GACGAACGCUGGCGGCGUGCCUAAUACAUGCAAGUAGAACGCUGAAGGAGGAGCUUGCUUCUCUGGAUGAGUUGCGAACGGGUGAGUAACGCGUAGGUAACCUGCCUGGUAGCGGGGGAUAACUAUUGGAAACGAUAGCUAAUACCGCAUAAUAGUAGAUGUCGCAUGACAUUUGCUUAAAAGGUGCAAUUGCAUCACUACCAGAUGGACCUGCGUUGUAUUAGCUAGUUGGUGAGGUAACGGCUCACCAAGGCAACGAUACAUAGCCGACCUGAGAGGGUGAUCGGCCACACUGGGACUGAGACACGGCCCAGACUCCUACGGGAGGCAGCAGUAGGGAAUCUGCGGCAAUGGACGGAAGUCUGACCGAGCAACGCCGCGUGAGUGAAGAAGGUUUUCGGAUCGUAAAGCUCUGUUGUAAGAGAAGAACGAGUGUGAGAGUGGAAAGUUCACACUGUGACGGUAUCUUACCAGAAAGGGACGGCUAACUACGUG